AGAGAGAGAGAGAGAGAGAGAGUGGUAGUCCCAACAGACCUGGAACAGACUCUGCCUCUCUCAGUCUCUCUCACCCUCUCUCUCCCUCUCUGUCUCUCAUACUCUCUCUCACUUUCCCUCUCUCUCUCUGCUUCUCUCCCUCUGCCUCUCUCCCUCUCCCUCUCUCUCAGUCUCUCUCAGUCUCAGCCUCUCUCCCAGUCUCUCUCUCCCCCUCUCUCCCUCUCUCUCAGUCUCUCUCACACACACUCUCCCUCUCUCUCUCUCUAUCUCUCUCUGCCUCGCGCGCACAGUAGGGUGGUGGUGGGUGGACACGCGUGUUGUUUUUGCUGCGCGUGAACUUCACCUUCAAACUUUUACGACACGCUGACUUCACUGCUGCUUUUUGUUUGUUUUUGUUGACGGAAGAAAUGAAAAAAAAAAACAUCUAAAAGAAACGGAACGGCUCGAGGAACUCAUCGUUGCUGCCGUUAUCAUUUAUCAGGAAGCGCGCGCGCUGCUGUUUGGUCGCCAAAUAUCCUAAUAUCAACUCUACGGGCAAAUUGAGGCUCUGAGGAGCGUGUGGUGUGCAGCUGGUGGAAGCACUGUGAUGGCGGCUAUGCUGUGGUGGAGAGGGUUCCUGGCACCGUGAUUUGGUGGACAAACAGAAGUAAAAAAAUCACAUUGCCAGGGAUUUCCACUCCUGCACGGCUCGCGUGAUGUUCAACAUCUGCUAUAACUGCACACAGGCGAACUUUCCAGCUGAGAUCAUUUCACCUUAUAGCUGUAGAAGGAAGACUGAAAAAAAAAAAAACAUGAAAGGAGUCAGUGGGUUCAUGUUGCUGUAUAUACAACUUUGACAUAACUUGGACAAAUUGCUGACAUUAGCUAAUCGUGAGGGUUGCCUUUGAUGCUGUGCAAGUUUUUGCAUGUUGUGGCGGUGCCUCUAAAUGAAAAGGUGUUCUGUCAUUGUAUUUGCAAUCUCUGUGGAACCCAGAUCAUUUAAGCACAGUUUCUUCAGUAUGUUUUCCAAACUCAGUAACACAAGCAGUGAAUCACGUCUUUGGAAAUAUCUCAUAUAAGGGGAACUCCUUUUCUCUUGUGCUAACAUGCUAGUCUAGCAAAUCACCUUGACUUUUAAUGAUCAGCUAGAGUUAAUUUCUUAAGGUUUUUGUGAUUCGUACGACUAUCAACUGCUUUUUCGCCUCAUGUGCCGUCUCAUCACUUGCUCGCGGCGCAGAGCUUAGCUAAUUGGUGAGCAUUGAUCCAUUAAAUAUACUGUUCACAGUGGCUAAGUUCAGCGUCUGCAGUGAGAAAGCUAACAGGAAGUUGCAAAGCUCUCCUGGAUUUCAACCAGUCACUGUGGUGAUGCGUAAAAGAGCCUAACGGAUGGGAUAAUGAAUGAAAGGACUGAUUUGAUCUGCCAGGUAGGCAUAGAAGUGUUUGCUCUAAAUGUCAAACCAGUUACGGCUUGGCGGUUUUCAGUUAACGCUCCCUCGAAAGCCAUUUUGGCUCUAAAUAAUAGAGUUGAUUUACAUCUCAAUCCUGCCCUCAUAUCUGGAGUAGGCAUCAGGUCAGACUACUGUUAGAGUGGAGAUUAAUGUCAAAUUGGGAAGUUCACAUUUCACAUUUCAGCUACUCAAACAUGUCCAACACACUUUAUUUCUCAGUUGUACAAUUCAUGUGUAGCUGUUAUUGUAUGUAAUAAUGAUAUCUCUUCUCUUGUUGGGAUUAAAGAAACAGAAAUGAAAUUUAAACAGUUUCCCUCUGAUAAAAAAAAAAAAAAAACAGUCGAUCAUCCAAGAUAUGCUUGGAGUCUGUUCCAAACAUUUUGCUUCUUUAGUUUUGCACUGGAGCUUCGAGGCUGUUAAUAUAGAUAUGUAUGAAUUUAUUCGUGAAUCAUUUGCAGGAGUGUUUCCUCCAGAAAUAUGGUGUUCGUGAAAAUCCAGUUAGUUGGAAAAACUUUUCUUUUCUGAGUUUGUGUAAAUUUACAUAUAAGGAAACUCACUAAUGUGAACCUCGAUUGUUUAGUUUUAAAUCUUAUAAUUGUCGAUGACUUACUGCAAUUUUAUAUAUAGAUUAUUCUGUCAAGUUUAAAUCACUUAUUUAUUUCAAUUACACACCAAUUUAAUGAACAUUUUGAAACUCAGUCAAAAUGUUCAUAUUCAUAUUCAUAUUCAUGACUUGAAAGAAAGCAAAAAUAAGAUAAAUAAAACUAGAUGUUCAAUUAGGACAAAAGUAAUGGCGCUCUAUAAAAGGCAGAAGAAGUAGUGUGUGUCUACGAGAGCUGACAUGCUGCAGUGGCAGAGCUGCAUUACUGGAAGAGUUAGCACACGCCAUGCUUUAGUCAUCAUUUUGCCAUUUUCAGAUCUCUGUGAGCUUUGCCUUUUAUGCAAAUUUGUGGGCGUCGGUAAAUGCUGUGAAUGCAAUUAGCAGUUCAUGGUUGAUUCACGUUUAUCAGCAAGUGCACGCGAGUGCAAAUAAAAUCAGCUAAAAUUUUGUAAGUCUAGCAGGAAGUUUUACUUUGGAUUGGCCUAUGAAAACAUUCACUCACAAUGAGUUACAUUAUCUGGUGGACUGCAGUCCGGAUGCAGAUGCAGUAAAGUCAUUCAGCAGGCCAAACAGUACUGGAGAAAAAAAAGUACUAUAGCAACGUAUGAAAAAAAAGUGUCCGUAGUUCAGCAACUCCUCUGUUGUGGUUUAUCCAAUCAUGUGCAUUUAUGUAAAUUAUUUAGCUGAAGGCAGCUCAUCAGACCAGUUUGUUAUCUGAUUCAAGUUCAGAAUUGAAGUGUCUUAUCUGUUCAGUGUAUGGCUUCAGUCAAAAGUGCUAAUGUGAAACUCCACUACAAAACAAAAUUUAACUACUUUGAAUUACUUAUAGCCAUAAACUAAUCACGAAUCAUUAAAAGAUCUUUAUCUCUAGUCACUUGUCCGGAUCUUAGUAAUUAAUACAUGUUGUGGAACUGGACCUUUAUAAAUUGUGUACAUUUCAGUAUACGUUUCAUUUCAGUGCAGUCAUCAUUGAGGGGUUCAUGAAGAUGAGGAAACUACAUAUAAUGUUUAAAAAGAGUGAGAAAUGCAGGGCAAAAUGAGGUAGAUUGCUCAGAGGGCCAAGGCCUCCGGUGCCUGCUGAGCUGGUAUCAGUGUGUCCACAAAGAGCUGGCUCAGCUCAGCAGGAACAGGAGUCCUGCCGCAUCCACCAUCCACUCCUCUCUCUCUUCUCAUACUGUCUGGGAAUACAGAAUUAUAUGGCUUUGAUGAAAUAUGAACUCCAUUGGAUAUGCAAGGUUGGGGUAAAUUUGCUGCAUCUCUAAUAAGUGCUGUAUCUGUUUAUAUUCAUUAUUCCACCACAACCGAGGCCACUGAAUCAGUCAGUCAUCAGUCACAUCUGGCUCUUGAAAUGUGUGACUUUUUACCUCUUAACCUAUUUCUGCCUGCUUUUCUUGUACCUACAGAAAAAAAACACCCUGUGGUGUUCCUGGGCGUUACGGACAGUCAGGGUGAAUUAUGGCCAGCUCCUUAUUUUAGGGCCUCUUUGUCACCUCCAUUUACGAGUGAAUAAUGGUCGUCAUAUAUCUCAGGUGCACCAUAGAUCUCGCCUCGUUACACCGUUUUUGCACGCAGGAGUCUAACUUUAGCUUUCAUCCUUUUCAUGUCUGGAAGGUGCAGUUGCUAUAAGAGCAGGGUGAGAUUUACAGCUGCCUGUGAAAGAAGAGCCUCGAGGUGUCAAUCGGCUAUCGGCUUUCACGAUGAAAACUCCAUCACUCGUGAUUCUGUGUGAUAAACAUUCAGUCCUCUUGAACACUGCAUGGCUUCUAAUAUUGGAGUUCUCUUUUACACGAAAUGCUUUGAGGCUAAUGUGCAAGGCUAAUAAAGCCAACAAAUAAUGGAA